ACAUUUUGUACAUAUCACCUGAGAAAGUUAUUCAAUAAAAACAUAAAGGCUGUCAGAACCACUACAGAAACAAGAGACUGGAUCAGUUUAAAUACAAAGGUACAAGCAAGGUUAUCAAAAACACUUUUUUAACCAAGACCAAUGGAGGGUGCAUAAAAUCAAACCCUAAAAUCAUAAGAUUUUAUAAACAAGCAAAAAUAGCAUUGAAUAAAAAUAUAUACACAUAUUUAUGCAUAUUAAGCAUUCUAGAAAAGAAUUAACAUAUAAUCCAACAAUAUCUCAUCAGUAUUAUCCAGAUCAUGUCAUCUAAUUGAGCAAAGAACCAUUUUUUUUUUUUUUGGUUAUAUUGCUUGUUGAACGAAGGGAGCUGCAUAAGAAUUGAAAAUUUGAAACUAUAUUCCCAUGGCUUGAGUCGCAGAUGAGAUGAGAGAGUGAUUAAGAGAGUCUCGCAGAGAUGAGGCAAAGAAUGGAGGAAGCUGCUGCAUUAGUUUUUCUUUUUUUUUUCUUUUUUUGUGCAUAUGAAAGUUCAAAGUUCUCUCACUUUCUUGUGUUGGGUUAAAAAGACAUAUACUUGUUUGGGAUCGUACAAUCCGAUUGAACAUGUAAGAAAUUGGAUGGUUUAUGCAUAUGUGAGACACUCGGAAUAUCAAUGCAUAUUGUAAGAAAUGUUUUAAGCUUGAACAUGGUAAUGAUAACGUGAUGGGGCUAAUCCAUGGGAUGGACUGAACAAGAAGCUAUCAAGUGUCUCUUCUCUUCUAGACAUGCUAGGCAGACGGAGAUUAACAAGAAGCUGACGAUUCGAUACUACCGAUACAAAGAGGAGGGCUGAAAAGAAAACUUAUGACACUAAGAGGGGGGCUUUUAUAAAUGAAGGUGCUUAAGCCUCACUCCUAUUGUGCUGUCAAAAUCCAUCAGUAUUUAUAAGGCAUCUUUGAAAUUGUUGUCUUGUUUUUGUUCUUCACCUUGGUUUUAUCAGCCGAGGUAUAUGCUAUAAGCAUGAAACUCAGCAGGCAAUUCGGAUUUUGUGGCAGAUAUUUGUCAUUAUUCAUGUUAAUGUCAUGGUUUUAUUGAAUUCUCUUGCUUACUUUUCAGGGAAAUGCAGAUGGAAGAGGA
rnacentral:misc_RNA from 1 species